ACGGAGGGUGCGAGCGUUGUCCGGAAUCACUGGGCGUAAAGGGCGCGUAGGUGGUUAGAUGCGCCGGUGGUGAAAGCGCAGGGCUCAACCCUGCGUCGGCCAUCGGGACGGUCUGACUGGAGCACUGUAGAGGCAGGUGGAAUUCCGGGUGUAGCGGUGGAAUGCGUAGAGAUCCGGAAGAACACCGGUGGCGAAGGCGGCCUGCUGGGCAGUUGCUGACACUGAGGCGCGACAGCGUGGGGAGCAAACAGGAUUAGAUACCCUGGUAGUCCACGCCGUAAACGAUGGGCACUAGGUGCUUGGGGGAGCGACCCCCUGAGUGCCGACGCUAACGCAUUAAGUGCCCCGCCUGGGGAGUACGACCGCAAGGUUG
rnacentral:rRNA from 1 species